AACGAACGCUGGCGGCAGGCUAAACACAUGCAAGUCGAACGCCCCGCAAGGGGAGUGGCAGACGGGUGAGUAACGCGUGGGAAUCUACCCAGUUCUACGGAACAACUGAGGGAAACUUCAGCUAAUACCGUAUACGCCCUACGGGGGAAAGAUUUAUCGGAAUUGGAUGAGCCCGCGUUGGAUUAGCUAGUUGGUGGGGUAAUGGCCUACCAAGGCGACGAUCCAUAGCUGGUCUGAGAGGAUGAUCAGCCACACUGGGACUGAGACACGGCCCAGACUCCUACGGGAGGCAGCAGUGGGGAAUAUUGGACAAUGGGCGAAAGCCUGAUCCAGCCAUGCCGCGUGAGUGAUGAAGGCCCUAGGGUUGUAAAGCUCUUUCAGUGGGGAAGAUAAUGACGGUACCCACAGAAGAAGCCCCGGCUAACUUCGUGCCAGCCGCCGCGGUAAAAC
rnacentral:rRNA from 1 species